AUUGAACGCUGGCGGCAUGCCUUACACAUGCAAGUCGAACGGCAGCACGGGAGCAAUCCUGGUGGCGAGUAGCGAACGGGUGAGUAAUAUAUCGGAACGUGCCCAGUAGUGGGGGAUAGCCCGGCGAAAGCCGGAUUAAUACCGCAUACGACCUGUGGGUGAAAGCGGGGGAUCGCAAGACCUCGCGCUAUUGGAGCGGCCGAUAUCAGAUUAGCUUGUUGGUGGGGUAAAAGCCCACCAAGGCGACGAUCAGUAGCUGGUCUGAGAGGAUGAUCAGCCACACUGGGACUGAGACACGGCCCAGACUCCUACGGAGGCAGCAGUGGGGAAUUUUGGGACAAUGGGGGCAACCCUGAUCCAGCAAUGCCGCGUGAGUGAAGAAGGCCUCGGUUGUAU
rnacentral:rRNA from 1 species